GUGGCUCAAUCUCACUUCCAAUUAAGUCAGUGAUAAAACUCACAUUGACUUAAAUGGGAGCAGGUUUGCAUCCCAAAGG
rnacentral:pre_miRNA from 12 species